UACGUAGGCAGCAAGCGUUGUUCGGAAUUACUGGGCGUAAAGAGUGCGUAGGCGGUGCUGUAAGUCUGUUGUGAAAUCUCUCGGCUUAACUGGGAGGGUGCGGCGGAGACUGGAGUGCUAGAGUGUGGGAGAGGUAAGCGGAAUUCCUGGUGUAGCGGUGAAAUGCGUAGAUAUCAGGAGGAACACCUGUGGUGUAGACAGCUUACUGGACCACGACUGACGCUGAGACACGAAAGCGUGGGGAGCAAACAGG
rnacentral:rRNA from 1 species